AGUGGUCAGGAUGAUUAUUGGGCCUAAAGCAUCCGUAGCCUGCUCUGUAAGUUUUCGGUUAAAUCUGUAUGCUCAACAUACAGGCCGCCGGGAAUACUGCAGAGCUAGGGAGUGGGAGAGGUAGACGGUACUCGGGAGGAAGUGGUAAAAUGCUUUGAUCUCUCGAUGACCACCUGUGGCGAAGGCGGUCUACCAGAACACGUCCGACGGUGAGGGAUGAAAGCUGGGGGAGCAAACCGGAUUAGAUACCCGGGUAGUCCCAGCCGUAAACUAUGCAAACUCAGUGAUGCAUUGGCUUGUGGCCAAUGCAGUGUUGCAGGGAAGCCGUUAAGUUUGCCGCCUGGGAAGUACGUACGCAAGUAUGAAACUUAAAGGAAUUGGCGGGGGAGCACCACAAGGGGUGAAGCCUGCGGUUCAAUUGGAGUCAACGCCAGAAAUCUUACCCGGAGAGACAGCAGAAUGAAGGUCAAGCUGAAGACUUUACCAGACAAGCUGAGAGGUGGUGCAUGGCCGUCGCCAGCUCGUGCCGUGAGAUGUCCUGUUAAGUCAGGUAACGAGCGAGAUCCCUGCCUCUAGUUGCCACCAUUACUCUCAGGAGUAGUGGGGCGAAUUAGCGGGACCGCCGCAGUUAAUGCGGAGGAAGGAAGGGGCCACAGCAGGUCAGUAUGCCCCGAAACUCUGGGGCCACACGCGGGCUGCAAUGGUAAUGACAAUAGGUUCCAAAUCCGAAAGGAAGAGGCAAUCCAUAAACAUUACCACAGUUAUGACUGAGGGCUGCAACUCGCCCUCACGAAUAUGGAAUCCCUAGUAACUGCGUGUCAUUAUCGCGCGGUGAAUACGUCCCUGCUCCUUGCACG
rnacentral:rRNA from 1 species